rnacentral:sRNA from 1 species
ACCCACUUGAGGCUGUGUCUGAACUGGGGUCAAAUCUGUCUCUAGGCUUGCUGUGGGGGAGGCCACUGACUCAGGUCCUGACCCCUCAUCUCUCCUGGAGGGUUCGGGCCAGGCUCAGGGGCCUGGUGACCUGGAGGCCAUGUCUGGAGCCACCCCCUUGGAUAGAAAGGAUUCCGAGAAUACAGGGGGGUUAAUCUCAAGGCCUCACCCCGGGACCAAUCCCCGUCCUGUGUUCAGGAGGGCAGGUGUGACAGUCGCCACAAACUGGACGGCUUGAAACAACAGACGCUUAUUCUCUGGCAGCUCGGGAGGCCAGGAGCCUGAAAUCAAGGUGUGGGUGGGCCUGGUUCCCCUGGAGGCUCUGAGGGAACCUCUGUCCCCGGCCUGUUGCCAGCUCCAGCAGUGGCUGGAAACCCUGGCCUCCCUUGGCCUGUGGACACCUCACCCCAAUCUCUGCCUCCACUGUCACCAGGCUUCUUCCCUCUUCUCUUCUAAGGACACCAGUCCUUGGGUUUAGGGCCCACCCAAUCCAGUAUGGCCUCAUCUUAACUAAUUACCUCUGCAAAGACCUUAUUCCCAAAUAAGCUCACAUUCUGAGGUUCUGGGUGGAUGUGCAUUUUGGGGGAUGCUGUUCAACCCAGUGCAGGUGAGCAGAUGGGGGCCG